rnacentral:lncRNA from 1 species
CCGCCCGCCUCAGCCUCCCAAAGUGCUGGGAUUACAGGUGUGAGCCACCGCACCCGGCCUUGUUUAGCACUUUCACAUCCCAGUUCCCUUGCGCCUUGAAGGAAGCAAAUCUCUAGCCCUCUCCAUCUUUACCCUGGCAGAGCCCUAUUUAUCUUUUAAGCCUAGUUCAAAUGUCACCUCCUCUGUGAAGCCUUUCCUGACCCCCUGCCCUGGCAUCCUCUCUGCUCCCAUGGCUUCUUGAAUUCCAACUGUCACCACACAGAUCACACUGCACUAUAUCUCUCGGUUGCUCUGUCACCCCCACCACACUAAGGGCCCCUGAGAGCAGAGACUAUGUCUGGUUUGCCUCUGAGUCCCCAGGGCCUGGCACUGAGCCUGGAACUGGGAGGGUCUUAAGAAAUGCAUAUUGGGUGGAUGAAUGAAGCAAAAGGGACACAUGUUCACAUACAGGUCACUCGUUCCUGGGGUCUGGGAGGCCAGUGAACUUGACAGUUGGGUCAGGGAGUAAAGGUCCAUGACUAGUCUCAUUGCUGGGCCCCAGGCCAUGUCUGGGAUAGGGAUGAAGGCAUGAGCAGCGGGGGCAGGGAGGUGGGAUGGGUGCAGUGCCCUAUGGAGGGCGAUUUCUGCUCGUCCUGGGUCCUUACUGUUCCUCUCUCAGUCUGGUCUCAGGCUCUGGACAAGCUCCAGGAAGGCAAGGCAAAAAGUAUACAAGUUACAUCUGACCCAUCUCUCUGGUGGGCACCAUGCCAACAUCCUGUCUUGCUUGGCAUACCAGAGCAAUCUGUGACCCCUCCUUCUCUGGCCAUCCUGGGGGGCCUCUGCAUCUCCACAAAGGUCCCAAGUAUCCCUAAUGAACUAACUCUAGCUCUCUUUCUCUCUCAGAAUUCUUGGUUUCUUAGUAACUCACAUAUCCCAAGGCAGGAGCUCAGCUCAGUGCCAAGCUUGCCUUUCACACCACUUCAGCCAGGCCCUGGGUGGAUAAGAAGACCUCGGUUUGGAAUGUCCACUCCAGCCCUCACUUGCUGUGUCUCGGCCUUCCCAUCUGCGAGAUGAAGGAACCUCCACUCUCCCUGCCUGCCCCAAGCAUGACAGCACUUCAUGCCCCCCAGAGAGAGAGGGACUUUGCCAGCUUCUGACAGGUCUUUCAGAGAUCAAAGUUCAAUUAUGUCUUUCUUGCUUGGGUUCAGAGGCAUGAGGUCAGAGCCUUUCAAAAGCUCUCUCAUCUCAAAGCAUUCAUAAACUCAUCUUGGUGGCAAGAACACCCAUCUAGGAGUCAGGCAGUCCUUGAUUCAAAUAUCUGCUUUGCAAAUCACUGGCCAUAAGACCCUGAGCAAGCCAACUCUCCUUUUGCAACUUUAGUUUCCUCUUCUAUAAAAUGGGGUUAAUGACCAUAGCUACUUCAUAGAGUGCCUGGUGCACAGUAGAUGCUCAAUACGUUGGGCUGUUAUUAUUACUCCUCCCACCUCCUUUUCCCCAUGUCAUCCCCACUCUAUCUGGCCCAGCUUGGAACCACAUCCCUCAGAGCAGCCCAGGUGUCCUCAGGCCUGCAGGGCAGAAGGGGUAGAGGGAG